UGGUGAUAUGUAAUGGAGGGUGUUGAUGACAAGGUAAAGCCAGCAUGGAGAACACUGUACAGGGGACUGGUGAUAUGUAAUGGAGGGUGUUGGUGACAAGGUAAAGCCAGCAUGGAGAACACUGUACAGGCCACUGUUACUAAAGGGGACUGGUGAUAUGUAAUGGAGGGUGUUGAUGACAAGGUAAAGCCAGCAUGGAGAACACUGUACAGGCCACUGUUACUAAAGGGGACUGGUGAUAUGUAAUGGAGGGUGUUGAUGACAAGGUAAAGCCAGCAUGGAGAACACUGUACAGGGGACUGGUGAUAUGUAAUGGAGGGUGUUGAUGACAAGGUAAAGCCAGCAUGGAGAACACUGUACAGGGGACUGGUGAUAUGUAAUGGGGGGUGUUGAUGACAAGGUAAAGCCAGCAUGGAGAACACUGUACAGGGGACUGGUGAUAUGUAAUGGAGGGUGUUGAUGACAAGGUAAAGCCAGCAUGGAGAACACUGUACAGGGGACUGGUGAUAUGUAAUGGAGGGUGUUGGUGACAAGGUAAAGCCAGCAUGGAGAACACUGUACAGGGGACUGGUGAUAUGUAAUGGAGGGUGUUGAUGACAAGGUAAAGCCAGCAUGGAGAACACUGUACAGGGGACUGGUGAUAUGUAAUGGAGGGUGUUGAUGACAAGGUAAAGCCAGCAUGGAGAACACUGUACAGGGGACUGGUGAUAUGUAAUGGAGGGUGAUGAUGACAAGGUAAAGCCAGCAUGGAGAACACUGUACAGGGGACUGGUGAUAUGUAAUGGAGGGUGUUGAUGACAAGGUAAAGCCAGCAUGGAGAACACUGUACAGGGGACUGGUGAUAUGUAAUGGAGGGUGUUGAUGACAAGGUAAAGCCAGCAUGGAGAACACUGUACAGGGGACUGGUGAUAUGUAAUGGAGGGUGUUGAUGACAAGGUAAAGCCAGCAUGGAGAACACUGUACAGGGGACUGGUGAUAUGUAAUGGGGGGUGUUGAUGACAAGGUAAAGCCAGCAUGGAGAACACUGUACAGGGGACUGGUGAUAUGUAAUGGAGGGUGUUGAUGACAAGGUAAAGCCAGCAUGGAGAACACUGUACAGGGGACUGGUGAUAUGUAAUGGGGGGUGUUGAUGACAAGGUAAAGCCAGCAUGGAGAACACUGUACAGGGGACUGGUGAUAUGUAAUGGAGGGUGUUGAUGACAAGGUAAAGCCAGCAUGGAGAACACUGUACAGGGGACUGGUGAUAUGUAAUGGAGGGUGUUGAUGACAAGGUAAAGCCAGCAUGGAGAACACUGUACAGGGGACUGGUGAUAUGUAAUGGAGGGUGAUGAUGACAAGGUAAAGCCAGCAUGGAGAACACUGUACAGGGGACUGGUGAUAUGUAAUGGAGGGUGUUGAUGACAAGGUAAAGCCAGCAUGGAGAACACUGUACAGGGGACUGGUGAUAUGUAAUGGAGGGUGUUGAUGACAAGGUAAAGCCAGCAUGGAGAACACUGUACAGGGGACUGGUGAUAUGUAAUGGAGGGUGUUGAUGACAAGGUAAAGCCAGCAUGGAGAACACCGUACAGGGGACUGGUGAUAUGUAAUGGAGGGUGUUGAUGACAAGGUAAAGCCAGCAUGGAGAACACUGUACAGGGGACUGGUGAUAUGUAAUGGAGGGUGUUGAUGACAAGGUAAA